GGCCGCCUGGCGAAAUGGCAUCGCGUCUGACUACGAGCGUUUAGAUUGCAAGUUCGAUCCUUGCGGUGGUCG